rnacentral:rRNA from 1 species
AGAGUUUGAUCCUGGCUCAGAAUGAACGUUGGCGGCGUGGAUUAGGCAUGCAAGUCGAGCGAGAACCCCGCAAGGGGGGACAGCGGCGAAAGGGACAGUAAUGUGUAGAUCAUCUGCCCUCAGGCCCGGGAUAGCUGCGGGAAACUGCAGGUAAUACCGGAUAACAUCUCCGGAUCAAAGGUGUGAUUCCGCCUGGGGAUGAGUCUACAUCCUAUUAGCUAGUUGGUAGGGUAAUGGCCUACCAAGGCGAUGAUGGGUAGCGGGUGUGAGAGCACGACCCGCGUCAUUGGGACUGAGACACUGCCCAGACACCUACGGGUGGCUGCAGUCGAGAAUCUUCGGCAAUGGGCGCAAGCCUGACCGAGCGACGCCGCGUGUGGGAUGAAGGCCUUCGGGUUGUAAACC